rnacentral:lncRNA from 1 species
GGGCAGACACACUGAAGUCGCUAGACAUUUGAGGAACACAUCCGGGGAAGAAGACACAGGUGGCUGGUCAUGGAGAGCCCGCUGGGGGAAGAGCACACAGACAGGCACCGGCAGGCCAUUGACCAGCGGGACAAGGCUUUGGUAUCAGGAUGAUGCUGGCCUCAUAAAAUGAGUGAGGGAGGAUUCCCUCUUUUUCUAUUGAUUGGAAUAGUUUCAGAAGGAAUGGUACCAGCUCCUCCUUGUACCUCUGGUAGAAUUCGGCUGUGAAUCCAUCUGGUCCUGGACUUUUUUUGGUUGGUGGGCUCAAUGUCAUCACAAGGGUGCUUAAGAGGGAAAGAGGAAGCCAUGAGGGUCAGAGUCAAAGGAAGACUUGAAGAUACUACACUGCGGACUUUAAAGAUGAAGGAAGGGGCGAAAACCAAGAAUGUGGGAAGCCUCUAGAAGCUAGAGAAGGCAAGGAAACAAAUUUUCCACUAGAGCCUCCAGAAGGAACACAGCCCUGCUGACCCACUGUAAUGUCUGACCUCUAGAUGUGUAAGGGUAGUAAGACUGAAAGUCUCAGAAAGGCACUGUUAAAUUCUUAUUCCUCAACUAUGCAACUCAAAACUGGGGUCCUCAGCAGUGAGCGAGGGGUGAGAGAAGACACUGUAUAAACAUGGCACAUCCUCCUGGAAAGUCAACUUUACUCAAAGGUUCUUACACACAGUGACAGCUAGCAGAGUCUAAAAUGCUGACAUUAUGACUUAGAGAUGUGAUAAAGAGAAACAUCUAUUGCAUUUUCUGUACCAAAAGCUCUUACUUCACCGGGGAGAUUUUUCACACGGGAGGAAAAGGACAAGUGGACUAUCACCUAGGUGGUCAGCUUACAACCUGAAUUUCUUGGAAAUGACCUAAUUUAAUUAUCUUCAUGGAUCUCCUUUGCUCUUUGAAUGAAGAGUAGUCAGCUAUUUUCUUUCUUUUUUUUUUUUUGAAUGGGGCUCUUGAGUGUCAGUUGCCAUUUUAAUGAAGUAGUGAUUUGGGCCCUUUCCUGAUAAUACAAGAGUUAGGUGUCAUGCUAGUUGGCUUGGCCCCUCUUAUUCCUCCAGUAUCCCUGAUAGGUCAGAUCAGAGUGAUUCUGGAGGGAAAGUAUGUUUCACUGUGGAUAUGUACAAUGGCAAUUCCCAGUUCUGGGAUUUAACUUAAUUCAAUUAUUCACAUGAUGAGUAGCAUCCACACACUCCUGGUAAAAUUUGAUAAAAUGCUGUAGCAUCAAGAUGCUUUUGUAGAGGCCUCUCUGCCAUUACCUGUUUUCUUGACUGGCAUUAAUCUCUACCAAAGCUAGAGACUUGAGCAUCAUCCUGAAUUCAGAGUCAUAAUCUGAUAGCUACAGGUCAAAGUUGGCCCAACGAUGUGUUGUUGGGAGUACCUUGAGCUUUGAAAAAAUAAAUAAAAGUAAUUAUCAACCCUGGA